rnacentral:rRNA from 1 species
UACGUAGGGAGCAAGCGUUGUUCGGAUUUACUGGGCGUAAAGGGCGCGUAGGCGGCAAUUCAAGUCAUCUGUGAAAUCUCCGGGCUUAACUCGGAACGGUCAGAUGACACUGUUUUGCUAGAGUGCAGAAGGGGCAAUCGGAAUUCUUGGUGUAGCGGUGAAAUGCGUAGAUAUCAAGAGGAACACCUGAGGUGAAGACGGGUUGCUGGGCUGACACUGACGCUGAGGCGCGAAAGCCAGGGGAGCAAACGGG